rnacentral:tRNA from 1 species
AAAAGGUCGGGAUAGC